rnacentral:rRNA from 1 species
GAUGAACGCUGGCGGCGUGCCUAAUACAUGCAAGUCGAGCGAACAGACGAGGAGCUUGCUCCUCUGACGUUAGCGGCGGACGGGUGAGUAACACGUGGAUAACCUACCUAUAGGACUGGGAUAACUUCGGGAAACCGGAGCUAAUACCGUAUAAUAUAUUGAACCGCAUGGUUCAAUAGUGAAAGACGGUUUUGCUGUCACUUAUAGAUGGAUCCGCGCCGCAUUAGCUAGUUGGUAAGUUAACGGCUUACCAAGGCGACGAUGCGUAGCCGACCUGAGAGGGUGAUCGGCCACACUGGAACUGAGACACGGUCCAGACUACUACGAGAGGCAGCAGUAGGGAAUCUUCCGCAAUGGGCGAAAGCCUGACGGAGCAACGCCGAGUGAGUGAUGACGGUCUUCGGAUCGUAAAACUCUGUUAUUAGGGAAGAACAAAUGUGUAAGUAAAUAUGCACGUAUUGACGGUACCUAAUCAGAAAGCCACGGCUAACUACGUG